rnacentral:tRNA from 1 species
GCUCGGUAGCUUAGCUGGUAAAGCGUUCGUCUAGCAUACAAGAGUCCUGGGUUCAAAUCUCAGCUCAGAACG